AUGCUUCAAUUACUUGCAGUCCUUUGCCAGAUAAGGCAGGUGUCCAGUGCCCUGGUUCCUCAUCUCAACUGGGCUUAUGCCAAUGAUAUAAAAUUUGGUGCAGUUCCCUGAGCCUUAAUGCUUCAAGUGUAGAUUUUGUAGCUGUUACUAAGGGAUGAAAGGAGCAGAGUGAUUACUGAAUAGAGUUGAAGAAGUUCCAAAGUAAUAGAAGAUGGUGUGAUCAUUGGAAAGUCAAUUGACUUAAAGGAUAAAUAUAAAAAUAUUGAGGCUAAACUUGUUCAAGAUGUUGCCAAUAAUAUAAAGGAAGAGGCCAGGGAUGCACCAUCACUGCCACUGUACUGUUGCCAAUCCAGGGGAAAUCAAGAGAGGUGUGAUGUUAGCCCUAGAUGCUGUAAUUGUUCAACUUAAGAAGCAGUCUGAACCUGUAACACCCUCUGAAAGACAUGUCUCAGGUUUCUACGAUUUCUGCAAAUUGAGACAACGAUAUUGGCAACAUCAUUUCUGAUGCAAUAAAAAAGUUUGGAAGUAAAAGCGUCAUCACAUAAAAGGAUGGAAAAACACUGAAAGAUGAAUUGGGAAUUACUGAAGGCCUUAAGUUUGAUCAAGGUUCUAUUUUCCCAUGCUUUAUAUACGUCAAAAGGUCAGAGAUGUGAAUUCCAGGAUACCUAUAUUCUAUUUAACAAAAAGAAAAUUUGUAGCAUCCAGUUCGUUGUACUUGCCCUUGCAAUUGCUGAUGCUCACAGAAAGCCCUUGGUAAUAAUUACUGAAGAUGAUUAUGGAGAAGCUCUAAGUACAUUCAUUUUGAAUAGGCUGAAAGUUUGUCUUCAGAUUAUAGCAGUCAGAACCCCUGGCUUUGAUGACAAUAGAAAGAACCAGCUUAAUGAUAUAGCUAUUGCUACUGGUGGUUAAAUAUAUGAAAGAGGCUAACAAUAAAUCUUCAGGAUGUUCAUCCUCAUGACUUAGAAAAAGUUGGAGAGGUCAUUCUGACUAAAGAUGAUGCCAUACUCUUCAAAGGAAAAGGCAACAAGUCUUAAAUUGAAAAAUAUAUUCAGGAAGUAAUUGAACAGUUAAAUACCACAAUUCAUAAAAAGGAAAGCCAAAAUGAGCAUCUGGGGAAACUUUUAGAUGGAAUACCUGUACUGAAAGUUCAUGGGACAGGUAAUGUUAAAAUGAAUGAAAAGAAAGAGUUACAGGUACCUUUAAUGCCAAAUGAGCUGCUGUUGAAGAAGGCAUUGUUCUAAGAGAGAGUUGCGCUCAAAUUCAGUGUGUCCCAUCCUUAGACUCACUAGCUUCAGCUAAUGAAGAUCGGUAAGUUGAUGUAGACAUUAUUAAAAGAACACUCUGAAUUCUUGCAAUGAUAAAUUUUAAGAAUGCAGGUGUUGAAAGAUCAUUAAUAGUUUAAAAAUGCAGAAUUCCUCAGAAGUUGAUUAUGAGGCUAUGUUUGGAGAUUCUCCGAAUGUGGUAGAGAAAAAAAUUAUUGAUCUAGCUAAAGCUGUAAGACUGCUUUAUCAUGUGCUGCUGGGGUGGGCUACCAGCUAACUAUAGCAGAAGUUGUAGUCAUGGAAAUUCCUAAUGGAUGGACCCUGGAAUGGGAGGAAUGGGUGGAGUGGGAGGACAUAUGAGAAUUAGCAUGUUCUAA
rnacentral:lncRNA from 1 species